rnacentral:lncRNA from 1 species
CCCAGCUCGGCUGCCUUGACUUACUUCUGUAUUAGUUCUCAAUUACGUGCAGUGUAAACCAGCUUUUUGAUUAACAAAACAGCAGAGCAUUGGUUAAGAACACUUAAACUUUAAAAAAAAAAAAAAAAAAAAUCCCCCUGGGAAGCGGGCUCUGAAUUGGUUAAUAAUGUGCAGUACUUGCUAAAUUGCUGACUUCCAGAUGUGGAAAAUAUCUUUCUUGUUUAGGACCUACGUAACCUGAUUGGAUUACGACAGAAGCGUCACAUUGGAAGGCUUUUGAGUGAUGAUUUAAUUAACCAUACAGUAGAAAGCUGUAUUUGCCAGGAAACCCCUUCCAUAUUUGCAUAACCAAUCCCUUCAGUGCAAAGGUGGAGUCUGGGCUUUUUCUUUUUUUUUUUUUUUCUUUUUUUUUCCUUCCCCCCCCAAAGCUUUCUGACAGGCAUAUUUUUCAUUUCUCCUCUCCUUGAUGCGAUUUGAUUUUAAUUUUCAUACUUUCCCAAAGGUGACAAAGUUGUAACCCUCAGGGAAGUUCGGCUCUGCGGGCCGGGCAGGGCAGGGCAGGGGCAGGAAGAACCCACCGAUCCCUAUCUGUGAACAGCACAGAGACACUGUAAGAGCUCAGCACGUUCGGGUGUGUUUUGGCUUUUUUUUUUUUUCCUUUUUUUUUCUUUUUUUUUUUUCCAUCAGAUUUAGCUGACUGUUCAAAUAACCUGGAUGAGUGCUGAAAUGAAAGAGGGGGAGAAAAAAAAAAAAUGCCCCAAAAGAAACGCGUGAGGAUAAAAAUAAAACGGCACCCAAACGAGCAGGAGUCAGCUCGGAGCUUGUUCGCAGUGCCCGCACUGAGUUUAGUUUCUAGGCGUUAUGUUAGGAAAAGAAAAAGAAAAAAAUGUCAUUAGAAGAGGCGUAACACGUCAGUCCGUCCCCAGGUUUGUGUUUCCUGGAGUGGCAGAAAGAGAUCCUUCCUAACCUGCCCAGCAGGAAUAACGGUCCUUCCGACAACUCUUUGCGA